rnacentral:snRNA from 1 species
AUCGCUUCUCGGCCUUUUGGCUGAAAUCAAGUGUAGUAUCUGUUCUUAUCAGUUUAAUAUCUGAUACGCCCCCUAUCUGGGGGCCAUAUAUUAAAUGGAUUUUUAGAACAGGGAGAAGGAAGAAGAGCUUACUCUGUCCACUCCACACAUUGACCUGGAUUUCUGUAAGAAAAGACACUAGGGGAAAAAUGCUGCCCCC